rnacentral:tRNA from 1 species
GCCCGGCUGGCUCAGUGGGUAGAACAUGUGACUCCUGAUCUCAGGGUUGUGGGUUUGAGCCCCACACUGGGGG